CCUACGUGUGGCAGCAGUGAGGAAUAUUGGUCAAUGGGCGGAAGCCUGAACCAGCCAAGUCGCGUGCGGGAAUAAGGCCCUACGGGUCGUAAACCUCUUUUGCCGGGGAGCAAGGGCGGGGACGUGUCCCGGCCCGGAGAGUACCCGGAGAAAAAGCAUCGGCUAACUCCGUGCCAGCAGCCGCGGUAAUACGGAGGAUGCGAGCGUUAUCCGGUUUUAUGGGGUUUAAGGGGUGCGUAGGCGGGCUUUUAAGUCAGCGGUAAAAAUUCGGGGCUCAACCCCGUCCGGCCGUUGAGACUGGCGGCCUAGAGUGGGCGAGAGGAAGGCGGAAUGCGUGGUGUAGCGGUGAAAUGCAUAGAGAUCACGCAGAACCCCGAUUGCGAAGGCAGCCUUCCGACGCCCUACUGACGCUGAGGCACGAAAGUGCGGGGAUCGAACAGGAUUAGAUACCCUGGUAGUC
rnacentral:rRNA from 1 species